rnacentral:lncRNA from 1 species
AACCUCUCAACCAGAUCAAACAAAAUGGAGGAACUGGAAUGUAUCAUGUCUUGUGUGCUUCCCUUCAGUCUGCAGAGAUCUCAGCUUAUAUGACCUAUCUGCAAAUCCUACACAACCUUUGCUGUCUACCACUUAUUCUAACCUGAAGAUUUCUUUGCACUGAGCUCGGAGCCUUACAUUUACAGUUUGGAUCAUUCGUCCUGGUCUAGUUUGUCACAAUCGUCGAAAAGUUCUGCUCUAGGUGACUUUGACAGUGUCAGCUCAGUCAGCGCCAAAGCAAAUGCAAGGGGUCGGUGCUAAACACACACAGCAAAUACAUGGCAGAUACUUAAAGAUCUGGAGGAAAGUCAAGUUCAAGAGGCUUCACACACCAGAACAGCAGCUGAGGAUUUCCACUCAUCUGCAUCUUGUGUGCGACAAUCAUCUUUUUCACCAACUGCUAAAAGAGCCUUUUAAAAGUAGGGAGCCACAUAUUCACAAAUAAGGUAAAAUGGUCUAAUAAUAAUAGUUUAAAAUAAUAAUAAUAAUAAUUAAAAAAAAACAAAAACACCUGUUGAAUCUACGUUUAUUUGGGAUGGAUUUUUUUUUGAUUUUUUUUUUUUUGAAGGCACAGAAAAAUA